AGCGAACGCUGGCGGCAGGCCUAACACAUGCAAGUCGAACGAACCUUUCGGGGUUAGUGGCGGACGGGUGAGUAACACGUGGGAACGUGCCUUUAGGUUCGGAAUAACUCAGGGAAACUUGUGCUAAUACCGAAUGUGCCCUUCGGGGGAAAGAUUUAUCGCCUUUAGAGCGGCCCGCGUCUGAUUAGCUAGUUGGUUGAGGUAAUGGCUCACCAAGGCGACGAUCAGUAGCUGGUCUGAGAGGAUGAUCAGCCACAUUGGGACUGAGACACGGCCCAAACUCCUACGGGAGGCAGCAGUGGGGAAUCUUGCGCAAUGGGCGAAAGCCUGACGCAGCCAUACCGCGUGAAUGAUGAAGGUCUUAGGAUUGUAAAAUUCUUUCACCGGGGACGAUAAUGACGGUACCCGGAGAAGAAGCCCCGGCUAACUUCGUG
rnacentral:rRNA from 1 species